rnacentral:rRNA from 1 species
UUAGUGGCGGACGGGUGAGUAACGCGUGGAAAACCUGCCGUAUACUGGGGGAUAACACUUAGAAAUAGGUGCUAAUACCGCAUAAGCGCACAGCUUCGCAUGAAGCGGUGUGAAAAACUCUGGUGGUAUACGAUGGUUCCGCGUCUGAUUAGCUAGUUGGUGGGGUAAUGGCCUACCAAGGCAACGAUCAGUAGCCGGCCUGAGAGGGUGAACGGCCACAUUGGGUCUGAGACACGGCCCAAACUCCUACGGGAGGCAGCAG